AGUUGAUCAUGGCUCAGGAUGAACGCUGGCGGCGUGCCUAACACAUGCAAGUCGAACGAAGCAUACGGACUGGAGAUUCGUCGAAGGACUGUAUGACUUAGUGGCGGACGGGUGAGUAAUGUAUGAGCAACCUGCCUUUCAGAGGGGGACAACAGUUGGAAACGACUGCUAAUACCGCGUAACGUAUCGUGGGGGCAUCCUCGUGAUACCAAAGGAGCAAUCCGCUGAAAGAUGGGCUCAUAUCUGAUUAGCUUGUUGGCGGGGUAACGGCCCACCAAGGCGACGAUCAGUAGCCGGACUGAGAGGUUGAACGGUCACAUUGGGACUGAGAUACGGCCCAGACUCCUACGGGAGGCAGCAGUGGGGAAUAUUGGGCAAUGGGCGAAAGCCUGACCCAAGCAACGCCGCGUGAAGGAAGAAGGUCUUCGGAUUGUAAACUUCUUUUAUGAGGGACGAAGGACGUGACGGCACCUCAUGAAUAAGCCACGGCUAACUACGUGCCAGCAGCAGC
rnacentral:rRNA from 1 species